GGGACACGUGGUAUCCUGUCUGAAUAUGGGGGGACCAUCCUCCAAGGCUAAAUACUCCUGACUGACCGAUAGUGAACCAGUACCGUGAGGGAAAGGCGAAAAGAACCCCGGCGAGGGGAGUGAAAAAGAACCUGAAACCGUGUACGUACAAGCAGUGGGAGCCUCUUAAUGGGGUGACUGCGUACCUUUUGUAUAAUGGGUCAGCGACUUAUAUUCUGUAGCAAGGUUAACCGAAUAGGGGAGCCGAAGGGAAACCGAGUCUUAACUGGGCGUUAAGUUGCAGGGUAUAGACCCGAAACCCGGUGAUCUAGCCAUGGGCAGGUUGAAGGUUGGGUAACACUAACUGGAGGACCGAACCGACUAAUGUUGAAAAAUUAGCGGAUGACUUGUGGCUGGGGGUGAAAGGCCAAUCAAACCGGGAGAUAGCUGGUUCUCCCCGAAAGCUAUUUAGGUAGCGCCUCGUGAAUUCAUCUCCGGGGGUAGAGCACUGUUUCGGCAAGGGGGUCAUCCCGACUUACCAACCCGAUGCAAACUGCGAAUACCGGAGAAUGUUAUCACGGGAGACACACGGCGGGUGCUAACGUCCGUCGUGAAGAGGGAAACAACCCAGACCGCCAGCUAAGGUCCCAAAGUCAUGGUUAAGUGGGAAACGAUGUGGGAAGGCCCAGACAGCCAGGAUGUUGGCUUAGAAGCAGCCAUCAUUUAAAGAAAGCGUAAUAGCUCACUGGUCGAGUCGGCCUGCGCGGAAGAUGUAACGGGGCUAAACCAUGCACCGAAGCUGCGGCAGCGACACUAUGUGUUGUUGGGUAGGGGAGCGUUCUGUAAGCCUGUGAAGG
rnacentral:rRNA from 1 species